AGGUUUGGAUGAAUUCCUCUCUUCUUGAGGUCCUCCAAAUAUCCCGAAGUACCUGCAUCUGCCAGGAACUAGCAUCCUUUAUUCAUCUAUCUGAGAGGAAGAAGCUGGUUUUUGUUCUGACAUUUGUCAGCCAAAGAUGGAGAGGCUCUACACAGCGAAAACAAGACCUGGAGCUGACUAUGGCUCAGAUCCUGAGCACCUCACUGCAAAAUUCAGGCUCAAAUUGAAGAAAGUAGGGAAACCCACUAGCCAUUCAGGGAACUUCACUGGAAAAGACCCUGAUGCUGGGAAAGACUGAAGGCAGGAGGAGAAGGGGACAACAGGAUGAAACGGUCAGAUGGCAUCACUGACUCCAAUGGACAUGAGUUUGAGCGAGCUCCAGGAGAUGGUGAAGGACAGGAAAGGCUGGUGUCCUACAGGGGGUUGCAAAGAGUCAGACACAACUGAGGGACUGAACAACAACCGGUGGUCCAGUGGCUAAAACUCUGUGCUCCCAAUGCAUGGAUUCAAUCCCUGGUCAGGGAAUUAGACCCCACAUGCUGCCACUAAUCCUGCAUAAUGCAAAGAAGUCUGAAGAUCACAUGUGCCAUAAUUAAGAGUUGACAUCACGAAAUAAAUAAAUAAAUAUUAUAAUAAACAAAAAAAUACUUCAGGCCUGAUUAACUAUAAAAACUAUCGCUCUACAUAUUUCAAUUGCUGCAAAAAUCCCUCCCCACAUCAGCUUUACUAAAUGAACAAUCACUAAGUGAAAGAAAUCAGCUCCUUUCAGAUUUUCCUUAGCAAAAUGCCCACUUUCAAAAUAUAGAAACUGUGGCAUAAAUACUUGUCACAGGAUCCAUAUUAUAAAACAGAUUACCCUAAGAUAAAAAGGUGAUAAAGCAUAUUCACUUUCAUUCUUCAGUUUGGAAAUACUUGGUACUAUGGGUAGAAAGUGUCAUAUAAGAGAAAAAGAUGAUGAAAUGUCCAGUACAGGUUAAGUGUCUAUUAUUAGAGAUGAGUGACAGUGAAGCAGGAGAUGCACUAGCAUUACCAAACAGCCACAGUGUCUGUCUAUCUGCUCUGCUACGCCUUAUAUGUUAACAGUUCAGCUGGCAAGGACUCUUCUGACUAGAUAUGUAAGGCACUCAUAUAUGCCCAUCAGGAUGAGUUCUUAUGUAAUUUAUGAAUUAAAAAAUAUUCAUUCAUCAUAGUGAUUUAUAUAUGUAGAAUACUCUUGUAAUGUGUGCACUCCAAAUUAUAAGAAAAACAUAGUGCUCGCUUCGGCGGCACAUAUACUAAAAUUGGAACGACACAGAGAAGAUUAGCAUGGCCCCUGCGCAAGGAUCACACGCAAAUUCGUGAAGUGUUCCAUAUUUUUUCACCAGCCCAGGUUGGAUGCAUGAGACAAGUGCUCAGGCCUGGUGCACUGGGAAGACCCAGAGGGAGCGGGUGGAUCAGGAUGGGGAAUACAUGUAAAUCCAUGGCUAAUUCAAGUCAAUGUAUGACAAAAACCACUACAAUAUUGUAAAGUAAUUAGCCUCCAACUAAUAAAAAUAAAUGGAAAAACAUAACUGCACACUCUAAGUACCAUACACAAAUAUUCUAAUGCUCAUGAAGUUAUUUAAAAAACUAGUACCUUGUUCUAUACUUACCAAAAGCCAUCCCAUUUAUUUAAAAUACAGCCUUUUAAUCAGGGCUUUAAGUCAUGACUUUCUUGAAGGGAAAUACUAAGUAAAAAUUAGGGCUUUGGGUUUAAAUUUUUUUCAUAAAUAUCUUCUAAUAUUAUCAAAUAUCCAGUAGGGUAGUUAAAAAAUCAAUAAGUAGCAAUACCCAGGAAUAUUUUUCAAACUACAUAGUGCCCCUGUCCCCGUAAGAUUUAAAUACUCCUUUUUCUUCUUUUUGUGACUAUACAAUUAAAACAAAUGUUUUUAGAGUUCCAAUAUUUUUUAUCAUAAAUCUCAUUUUCUUUAUUCUUCCUCCUCUUUCAUAAUUUCAUAUAAAUCAGUGGUUUUCACCACACAGGUGAAAUGUAUCAGGUGGCAAUGUGAAUACUUAGGGUCUGAAAAUCUCUUGUAGCAAUUCUAUUAUGCACCCAUACACAAAACCAUUUUAGUCGUGCAAAAUGGAAGACAGAAUAUUUGCAUUGAGAAAGAACAAGUCCAACUACAUAAAUAUAUAAUGUACAUUAACAAAAUUAGGAGGAACAUGGGGAAUAAUCUUAAUUGCCUUAACACUCUUUUCUCUACAAAGUGACAGACUCUCUUGUUUAAAAACACUUUACAACUUUAAUACUUCAUUGAUUUAGUCAUAGUAAGCAAUUAUCAUAAAGAAAAACUGAUUAGGAUUUUACUAAUAGUUUCUUUAAAACCACAUUUACAUUAAAGUAGAGCACCAAUUCACAUUUCUUAUCCUUUUCUUAACUUUAAAGACUUGAAAUAAAAAGAUCUUUUCUCUGUUAGAUAUCUCUUUCAUGGAAGAAAAGGAAAAAACAAACUCAACUAACUGCUGCCUUGAUGGGUUCUGCCUACAAUGAAUGAGUUUCCUAGAAACUGUGGCUAACUCAAUAAGAAUAAAAUAUGAAAAAAUAAACCACACUUACCAAGGAACAAAAUUAUUUCAAUUUCUUUUCAAAUAAGUCAAAACUUUGUUCUCUUAUAUUAAACAGUUGAAAAACAUCAACCUGGAGAAAACUGGGGGCGAUGUCCAGACUAAGUUUCCAAAAGUCAGUGAGUUCGCUUGUCUUCUGUGUUGUAAGGGACUCUUCGCUUUGGAGGCGAUUUAACUCAUUUAGAACAUAGACUCAGGAGAAGAUAAUGAUUUUACCAGCCAACCCUUCAAGGGAGCUGGCAUAUUUAUCUUCAUGGGGCACAGAACAUACAGUCAGUACUUUUUUUUUUUUUUUUUACAGUCAGUACUUUUAACAUAUGUUUGUUAAAUGAACACAACUUGCAGAAAAAAGUUUUAUGUCCAAGUGCAUUAAAAAGAGGUAAAUACUCAACACAAUACUGAAUAGAGAUAAUAUGUACUGAAAAUUCAACACUUGCAGUCAAGGACUAAAUUUCUACUAGCCCACACCCUGUAACAAUGUUACAGUGCUGUUGUUUCACCAGGCUCUUCUGUCCAUGGGAUUUCCCAGGCAAGAAUACUGGAAUAAGUUGCCAUUUCCUUCUCUAGCGGAUCUUCCCAACCCAGGGAUCAAACCCGAGUCUCCUGCAUUACAUGCAGAUUCUUUAUCACUGAGCCUCCUGGGAAUCCCUUAUAACAAUAAUUAAGUCAAAAACCUCAAAAAGUAACUAAAUUACAUACUCAAUUCUAAAUCAAGGUUUAAAAUAAAAGGCUGUAAGAAAACAUGAAAUGCCAUAUUUACCCAGAAAUCCCCUCUCUCUGGGGGAAAUGACGCUAGUCACGCUAAUAAACUUAGUUUCUCUUUUUUUUUUUUUUUUUUUUUGGCUGAGUGAUA